rnacentral:rRNA from 1 species
GUGCACCAGGCGCGAAACCUCCGCAAUACACGAAAGUGUGACGGGGCCAUCCCGAGUGCCGUCCGCUGAGGACGGCUUUUCCCCAGUGUACAUAGCUGGGGGAAUAAGGAGAGGGCAAGCCUGGUGUCAGCCGCCGCGGUAAUACCAGCUCUCCGAGUGGUGGGGACGCUUAUUGGGCCUAAAGCAUCCGUAGCCGGCUGGGCAAGUCCUCCGUUAAAUCCAACGAUUCAAUCGUUGGGCUGCGGGGGAUACUGUCCAGCUUGGGGGCGGGAGAGGCCGACGGUAUUCCCCGGGGUAGGGGUGAAAUCCUAUAAUCCCGGGAGGACCACCAGUGGCGAAGGCUGUCGGCUAGAACGCGCCCGACGGUGAGGGAUGAAAGCUGGGGGAGCGAACCGGAUUAGAUA